AGUUAAAUUAGUGUGUAUCUUGAAAAUACAACUUAAAAUUAAUUUUUUAUUAACUU
rnacentral:tRNA from 1 species